GCCUGGGUGGCUCAGUGGGUCGAGCAUCUGACUUUGGCUCAGGUCACGAUGUCACGGUUUGUGAGUUCUAACCCCAUGUUGGGCU
rnacentral:tRNA from 1 species